ensembl:lncRNA
GGGGACUUCACCAACCGAGGACCAUGGCUGGACAGAAAGACUGUGCACUUUGGGGUCAGCUGGGCCUGAGUUAGACUCCAGCUCCCCCACUUGUUAGCUUCAAAUUCCGAGAUAGUUGUGUUUGAACUUAUUUGACUUCCUCUGGGGCUACUAAUCUCCACAUCGCUCAAUCCUUGGGAGUCUGUGAGCUCCCCAAGAGGGAAACUAUCUGAUUCAUCCUAAAAGCCAGAAGCAAGUCUCCCUGGAGACCUCGCCACCGGAAGGUCCACCCAGCCAAACAGCCAUCCUGGGGCAUUGCCUCCUUGCCUGGCAUGAACCCCCAGAGGAGAGCUCGUGGCUGUGAUACCAGAGUUGUCAUCUCCAGGAUGGGAGCGGUGGGAAGAGACUGUGAAGCCUGCAGACCCCAACCCCUCAGUGGGACAGCAGCAGGGACCUGGAAUCUUCCAUCAGGAGCCCACAGGAACCAGCCUCCAACGAUGCCAACAGUGGAUCGAGUGGGUCCCUCCCUGGGUGGCUACAUGGGGCACAGUCCCCUGCUAACUUGACACACUGGCCCUUAGACCAU